GGCUGGCAGCUGCAGGUCCAAUUCAACCCCUACCCUGGGAACUUCCACAUGCCCCAAGUACGGCACUAUAAAGAAAAAAAAAAAAAAAUUCUAUGUAGCCUAGUAUAUCCAAAACGAACCACUUCAGUAAGUAAUUGAUUUAAAAUUAUCAAUAUAUAUGACAGUUUUUGGUAGUGUAUUUUGUGUAAUACUAGAAAUGACAUAGGUCCUGACAAAAACCUAAUAAAAAUAUUACAAGCAAUACGCCAAAGUGAAAUGUCCUCCUAACAAAACAAAGACGUGUUUAGUAGGGGAAAAAAAGUAUUUUACAUUGUUUCAGCUUUUAAGUUUAAAUUACUUAGAUUACAUAUAAUUCAAAACUCAUUUCCCAGCCAUGUUAGCCACAUUUUAAGUGCUCAAUAGCUACUUGUGGCUAGUGGCUACCUCACUGAACAGCACAACCCAACAAGUUUUCAUUGUUGCUUGUUUUUAUUAAUUACUGUAUUACAAAACCCCCUCACAAAUUAGUACCUUGAAAUAACAACUAUUUAUAUCUCAUAAUGCUUUCAUUCACUUUAUAGUGAUUUUCUGGUCUUCGUCUAUGUCUCUCUCGCUAAUUAGAGAGACACUGGGGCUGGAAUGUCCAAAAUGGCCUAUCACAAGCUGGCUCAGAAUUCCUUUCAUGGCUCAGCGGUAAUGAACCCUAUGAAGAUGAGGAUUUGACCCCUGGCCUUGCUCAGUGGGUUGUGGAUCUGGCAUUGUUGUGAGCAAUAGUGUAGGUCACAGAUAUGGCUCUGAUUCUCAUUUGCUCUGGCUGUGACGUAGCCAGUAGUUGUAGUUCCAAUUUGACCCCUAGCCUGGGAACCUCCAAUUGCUCUGGGUGCAGUCCUAAAAAAAACUGUUUGGCUCCUUGUCUGGGAGUGCUGGAAGGCUGGGCUGAGCUGGGCCUCUUUUUCCUUCUCUGAAGCCUCAGGGCCUCUCCCUCUUCACACGCCCUCUGCUUGUGGUCUCUCCAGCAGGGUGGCCAGAUUUAAUGCAUCUGUGGUUCAGGACUUCUCAAAGCAGAAACUUCCAGGUCUUCUUAAGGAUUAGAUCUAAGACUUGAUACCAUGUGACUUCUGUGCUGUUUAAAUACUGUUGUUUAAAUAUUUCUAUUGUUUAAAAUGAGUCAUGAAGCCAGGAGAUUCAAGAUAGAAGGGAAAUACACAAGGGUAUAAAUACCAAGAGACAUGGAGAUUAGUGUUCUUGAGUGUUGGUUCAGUUUUUAACAAGUUUGUAUUUCACAAAGAUUGUCACUCUAAAUUCCUACAAUUGUGUACUAUUAUUUCAAAGAAACAGAGAUACACAAGGUCAGAAACACACUCAAGCAAAGGUGCCUCAGUUAAGUGGGGAACCUCAGAUUCAAACCCAGACAGUUCUGAUUCCUGAGCUCCUGCACUUUUUGUUAAUUGUUUCAGUGUUACAUAUGUUGAUAUAAACAACUUCUAAGGACAAAAAUUAAAAGAGAAGGAAACAUGCCUAAUGAGCCAUAUUUAAAUCUCUGAUGCUAUUAUGCUUGUUAUGCUUUCAGAAUUUCUCAUUAAUUGAAACUUCUUACAGUCAGUGUUAAUUACAUUUGAGGUGGAAAGAUCUUACACUAUCUCUUUUUCUCUCCCUAUCAUCCUCCUCAAUCUCAGUCUUGUUCUCAUUCUUUCUUUUUUAUGAAUAAAUUGUGGUGGUUGUGUGGAAAUUUAUGCCAGCUUUACACACCCUUUCACUUAGAAGUUUCAGUAAAAUGCAUUUUUAUCUAAUCACCCAGUGUUCUUUCUGCUGACCUUAAACUCUCUUCUCCUUUGUAAUCACUGAAAACUCAUCAGUGACAUUCGUAGUUCCGUGUAAUAUAAUAUGUUUGCAUUCCAUAUUUUUUCUUAGGCAAAAAAAUUAACUCUGACAAAGCAAUGACCUCAACAUAAUUGUCAUUAACAAAAAGGUUACAGUGUUCUCACCAGAAUAAUGGAGCCAAGAAUCAUUCUCUUUUGUGAUUCCACAUCUUACUUUGCUCUGAGCUCUUUAAACAUAACAAAUAAUUAUGCCUUAUUAAGCACCUGCUCAAUGAGGUUGGGAAAUCAGACUAUGGUGUCAUUAAAUCCUGACCUUUGACUUUUUCUGUCAGAUGUCAGAAUGAUUAUUUCUACUGGAUCUUGGCUUGACAUUAGGGAGCAAUUGGCUAAUCCUCAGAUUCUCCAAACUUGCUCUCUGGUCUCUUGCUAAUGCUCAUCUUGUUCUGAGUCUUAGAUUUAUUAUGAUUUAUUCACCAUAUGGGGUAACAGUAUCUCCUUUUAUCCUAAAGGAAACAGUGUCUACAUGAUUUUGAGCCCUAGUUCUCAAGGGAAUUCAGAUGGAAAGUUUAAAAAUUUAGAAAGGGGCUUUUACCUCUUCCCUUUGUCUUCUUUCCUAAUACAGAAUUAGGACAAGUGGAUAGGUGAAGAGACAUGUAAUAGGAAAUGACUCUGGGUCUAAUUAGUUGGAACUUCUCCCACAAGGGGUGAAUAUUAGAAUCACAUCAGACCCAGAAAAAGAGCUAUGGAUUUGAUAGCUUUUCCAAACAAUGGGCCUAACAUAUUUGUUUUAAAAUGUAAUCACUGGGCCUUUAGUAUUUUAAAAGCAUAGUUGGAGUUGGCAUUGCCUUUUAGUUAUAAAUAUGAUGAAGUCUAAAACUGUGAAAAAUUUCAGCCCAGGAUGUAUACAGAAUGAAGUUGAAAAUUUUUGGUAGACAAGAUAGGAGAGAGAAACCUUGGGGAAAAGGUGUACCCAAGCAGAAAGUUUAAGAAAAAACAAAACUCACCUUAAUUGAACAUCUAUUAUGUGUCAGACACUGUGCUGAGCAUAUCAUAAAAGCAGGAAAACUUAACAAUAGCAGUAGAUUCCAUGAAGAGGAGCUAGAAGAGUAAGAACAGAAUGGAAAGGAGAGAGCAGCAUUGAAAUGAUGAAUUUAUAUCUAGGAUUUGCUAAAAACAUCUGAACAUAAUAACUUCUGUUUCAGAAAAUCUCAAAAUAGGCACAGCAGAACUCUAUAUCCAACUAUAAAAAUUUAAGUGGGGACAAACAGGCCUUCUCCUGCCUCAAGUCUAUUUCUAAGCUUUAUCAAUCUGAAUAUGUUUACAAUUCACUUAUUCCCUUUUUGCUGAAAUUAUCCAGUGUUUCUCUUCUUUGCUGCCAGAGCUGAUACUGGUUUGCCUGUAACAAUUUUAGAAAUGCUGUGGGUUUUAAUUCAUGUGUCUUGGUGUGAUCCUUUUAAGGAUUCAAAACAAAGACUGCAAAAUUAAAAGCCCAGGUUCAGAACUUAACAAAAUUCCUUAAGGAGCAGGAGAAAAAUAAUAGGACUAGAGUUGCAUGGUAGUAGAAGAGGCAAUACAAUUAGAAGGACAUUACAAAAGAAACUAAUGUGGACAAAUGUAGGAAACUUAUAAAGUCUUAGCUCUUUUGUUUAUCUGUUCUCCAGAACUAAGUACACACCAUGAUAAAUACUGGUUGACUGAAUAAGUGAAUUGUUCAAGGCCAGUGCUUCCACAGAAAAUAUAUGGUAAAUAGGAGUAAACAGAUAUGGUUUCUUUCAGCUGGAGAGGAUGAAUUUCCAGGGUUCCAGCCUACCCCAGGUCUUAUGGGCUUCCCCAAGAAUGAGAAGUUGAGUUUCUGAGCAUCUGCAUGUGUUGUUCCCCAAUGCAUGGGAAGCACUAACCUAGUCUAUGAAAUAUACUUUUCUUCAGGUCUGUUAUUAACAUAGUCUAACCUUCAAGGCAGAUGAUGCUUUGGGGGAGAAAAAAUGCUUCCCUUCCUGUAGGUGGAUACAGCUUUGUUAAGUCCUGUGGCUUGGCACAAGUUAUAUGGGCUAGAAUUAAUCCCUGCUCACUCAUCCACUGUAUGCUUUAUAUCAUUGUGUCCACUCAGCAUUCUACUGUCCUCUUCCAUUCAGCUAAUUUUAUCUAAUCUCCAAUCUAGUGGUCACUGUCUGCCUUUUAAUGAUAUCAAUUCUACUUCUUAUCUUUACGAAAUCUUCCUUUGGCUCAAAUUUCCCUUGACCAUAUUGUUUGUUCAAGUUUCAGAGUUCUAUAUUCUCUUGAAUCUACUUGAAAAAGAAAAAAAAUGUUAGAAAUAGAUCUCCCUGUAAUCUUUUGUGUUGUCUCUCUUUUUUUUUUUUUUUUUUUUUGUAAGACUAAUUCAUACUCAACCACAGCUUCUGAUGAUUCAAGCUGAGGUUGAAGCUCAUCAGCCAUGACUUCCAAAAACAUACUUGUUGGUUUUAUUUGCCUCAUUGUCAACAUAUGGAUUUUCCGGAAAAGAUUUUGGAAUAUGCUUACUGAGGUAUUUGGGCUUGGUUUAUGUGAUUCUACAAAGGGAUGGAGAAAAUGAAGGUUCAUUUUGAAUUGAGUGCUCUCAGGAAGUGGGGGCAGUUCGUUGACUAGUGGUCUUAGUCAUUUUUAUCUGGAAGGCAAAUGGACUCAAGCUGAAGUUGUCAUUGAUAAAGAAGCCCUUCUGGUAAUCAACAGAAUGGCUGUAAGUUUUAUAGUUGUAGAGUAUACCUGUGACUGUCUUGUUUCAGCCAUAAUCACAAAGUGGCCUAAUCUAUCUUGUCCCCUAAACAGACCAGGUGGCCAGGUUUGGAUAUUACUUAUGCAGGCAUACCCUUGAGAAUUUUCGGGUUUCUUUCCAGACCACCAAAGUAAAAUAUUGCAAUAAAACAAGUCACAUGCAUUUUUAAAUUUCCCAGUGAAUAUGAAAGUUAUGUUUAAACUAUACUAUAGUCUAUGAAGUGUGCAAUAACGUAAUAGCCAAAAAAAGUGCGUUCCUUAACUGAAAAAUGCUUUAUUACUAACCAUCAUUCAAUCUUUGGAUAAGCUGUAGUAGUAACAUCAAAGAUCGCUGAACUAAGAUCACCAUAACAGAUACAAUAACAGUGAAAAAGCUUGAAAUAUGCUGAAGAUUACCAAAAUGUGACAGAGACACAACAUGAGCAACUGCUGUUAGAAAAGAUGGUGCCAUUAGACUUGCUUCAUACAGGGUUGUCACAAAACUUCAAUUUGUAAAAAUGCAGUAUCUGCUAAAUACAACAAAGUGAAGCAUAAUAAAAUUUGGUAUGCCAGUAUUCUGCAAGCAUUGUUUAGGUCCGUUUGGAAACAUCUAGCCUAACUACCUUCUCUGGACUUCCAGAACUCCAGCUUUUUCAGUGCAGAAUCUUCUUUUUAGUCAUGUGGUUAUUGUUCUUUAUUUGUUUAUACUUCUCCCUUUAAGUCUUUUCUACUGAGAUUACUGAUUUAUAAUCAACCCAGAAGAUGGGAAAAUCCUGUCAGGGUCCCUUCCUGAAAUCUUCAGGUCCACAAAAAGAGAAGAAAUAACUUUGUAAUGUCAGAGCUCUCAGGUGGAGAAUAAAGACAGAGUCAAGAGUCAGAGAAUCACAGUCAGAGUUUCAUUCCUGUGAAUCUGUCCUGUGGCAUCAAUGAGCCUUGUAAGUGUCUGCACUCUGCCUGGCUUGGCCACAUAACUAUAGUCCCCAAAUACCUUAUUUUUGGAUUAAUGGUCCUACCCACUUUAACUUGCUUUUGUGGUUUCCAUUUUGUGUAAGGGCUAUUAAUGGGGUUUUAUCCAAAUUACCUCCAAACUGCAAUAACAUAGGUAAAAUCCCAAGUGCUUUUUCCAUGCUGUCCCUUAAACUUACCCCAUCUGUCUUGAUGUAACAAAGAUUCUGAAAUCUCUUAAUGGUAGACUUAUUUAGUUUUCUGUACUGAUAUAGCUUUUCCUUAUUUUUAUAUUUUGUUGGUAAUUUCCAUGGGAACUGAUGGGGAAGGAAGAGUAAUUGCUUUGGGAAUUAAUCAUUUAGUUCCCUUAGGGAGAAAUAUAUGUGAUUUCUAAAUACUGAAAGAGAAAAGAUAUGUUUUCCAUGAGUAUUUAAAUAUUUUAUAUGGAAAUAGUUGUAGUUGCACAAUUUGAUCACACAAAAUUCUCAGGAAAAAUUUCCAUUUCUAAAUGAGAGAGAAACAGACUUAAAGAUGCUCUCAGUACCUUAUGGAAGCCUCAGGUGUCCUUCUGCCCUAUAGCCCAGUAUUUCAAAUAUAUAGGUAUCGAAGAAUUGUCCAUUUAGCCAACUUAUAAACCUGGUUCUCUGGUCUUAAAAGAAUUUUGUCAACAGAAAUCAAUAUAGUGUUGUACUUCAAACUGCCUCUUUCCUUUCACCCAGAAAAUCCUAAUCACUGAUCCUUGAUCCCAAAGCAUGUGUAAUAAAGGAAUGUGGGCAUUUUAGCAACGUGCUCAGAAAAAUAUAGUUUACAAGUAAAAUAGAGAGUUCACAAUUUCUGUAUCCAUCAAUGCCUGAUAAAAGCAAAAUAUCUUAAAAUCAAUUUAUUUCUGUCAUUGCUCACGAAUUUGGAUGCCAUGGAUAAAGAUUGAUUUCUUUUUAACUGGUAUGUUAUUUAAAUGCUUUGAGAAAUAGGAGUUCCCAUCAUGGCUAAGCAGAAAUGAAUCUGACUAGCAUUCAUGAGGACUCAUAUUCAAUUCUUGGCCUUGCUCAGUGGGUUAAGGAUCCAGUGUUGCCGUGAUCUGUGGCGAAGGUUGCAGACAUAGCUCAGAUCUGGUGUUGCUGUUGCUGUGGUAUAGGCCAGCAGCUGCAGCUCCGAUUCAACCCCUAGCCUGGGAACCUCCAUAUGCCGUGGGUAUGGCCCUAAAGAGCCAAAAAAAAAAAAAAAAAAAA
ensembl:lncRNA